rnacentral:rRNA from 1 species
UACGAAGGGGGCUAGCGUUGUUCGGAAUUACUGGGCGUAAAGCGCACGUAGGCGGAUAUUUAAGUCAGGGGUGAAAUCCCAGAGCUCAACUCUGGAACUGCCUUUGAUACUGGGUAUCUUGAGUAUGGAAGAGGUAAGUGAGUAUGCAGUGUAGAGGUGAAAUUCGUAGAUAUUCGCAGGAACACCAGUGGCGAAGGCGGCUUACUGGUCCAUAACUGACGCUGAGGUGCGAAAAGCGUGGGGGAGCAAACAGG